UGAUAAAAAGAGUCUCUAUAAUAGUGCCUGUGAGGUGUUUGAUGCUAGGUCUCAAUGGGAUUCUGCAUAUGGGGAGCAAUGAUAAAUUUGACAGAAUUACAACAAUUUUGACUUUUAAUUUGCUUAACAUCUGAACUUCGAAAAAUAACAGGCUUGACGUAGGAGAAGGAAAAAAGGUCAAUCAUGAGAGAUGUUCUAGAUCGAAGCUUCAGCUGCAAUGCAUCAGAUAUCUUGGUCCAGCAAAAAGGAAGGCUUAUGAAGUUGUGGUUCAAGAUGGGAAACUUAUCUUCAACCAUAGUGGUGAAUUCCUUCACACAGUAGGAGGUAUCAAAAGUUCAUUCUCUUGGGUGAUUUUGUAGAUUUCCAUGCACCAAUGUAUAUCUUACAUGCCCACAUUGUGUGCUACAAAUAAUAAAAUAAUGAUAUGAACAAUGUUAAUGUUGUAGCUUCAUUGAUGGUAUGUACUUAAAAUGAUUUCAAGCAACUUCAUUGAUGGCAUGUACUUAAAUGAUUUCAAGCAA